CUUUUUUUCUAUUUUAGCACCUCAACUAAGUGUUGUUCCUAUUGAACCCCUGAACUUGGCCUUAAUUGUGUCUAUCAAACACAAUCCAACUUACAUAGUAACAUAUAUGGUGAGUUUCAUUUUCGUUAGCCUUGCGCGUGAAUGUCAAUUGCAUCCUACGUGGAAAAUUCAAUCAAUUAAAACACCGCACCCAUUUUAAUUGUACACAUCAGGCAGGAAGAAGUGUGAUACUGUGUUAUACAAGUGAAGAAGCACCACUUAAACCAAUCAAAUAGCAAAAUUGGAAAAUAAGAAAUCAAAAUCUAUAUAUAAUAUAAAGCUAGACAUAGACAAGGUGAUGUGGCACCUCUCUAUGACUAGCAUUCUUAUUUAUCUUUUUUCUCAAUUUUUUGAGGCUUUUCUCAAUUUUUAUCUUAUUUAUGUGCUAUGUUAAAAAAACUCAAAAGUCACUCAUGAAACUCUCUUAAUUAUGUUAAAUGUGCUAUGUUAAUUAGCUUAGUCAUCAGUUAGCUACGUUUUUUAUCCUGAGCUAAUCAGUGCAUGGAAUGUUUCAUUUAGUAUCAUUACUCUACUUUAAUUUUUCGGUUAUAUACCUCUUUGUUUUCCAACCAUUAUAUAGAAAACAAUAAAAACAUAAUGGAAUGGACAUGGUGCAUGGGCACACUUAAUCCGAUUAUAAAUUUUGGUGAUUUUUCAAGUGGUAGGUAUUAGCAUUCACUUGUGUGAUUUUGUCUAUUAUAUUCAUUCUGCUACCAUAUCUUUUUCUAGGCAAACUCUUUCUAUAACAUACUUCAUGAAGGACUAAACAGAGAAGGCAUACUUCAGCAACAAAAAUCUCUUGUCUUGUGGACUAUGCUAAUUGUUAAGACAUCAUCCAGUUGAGCUUCAUCCAUCUCAAUCUCCACUAUUCAAAAUGGGAAAACUGAUUUCUUGAUCUCAAAGGCAAUUGCCAACUGAAUAUAUAAACAAAGGGUCUGCAAAAGCUAGCUGGUACUACUAAAUGUGCCUAUAGCAAUGUCGAGAUGAAAAUGAAUUCAAGUGAGACUGCAUCUGUUCUUGUAUGUUUCAAGAGGAGCAUAUAUAUUAUCAAACCACUCAUUAUGAGUAUGUCAAAGAUAUCACUUUGGUUACGCUUGUAGUUAUCAUUAUUUAGACAAUAAUGUCGGCUCAAUACAUCAAGUAUACGUAAACGUUUGGAUCGUCAUUUUAGGAGCUAUAAAGUGCCCCGAAGUUAUAAGAUUAGCGAAAUACGAUAGUCAUGACCUUAUAUGUUGAAGAUGAUAUCAUUUCACUUAUUGUAGUCGCAAGAGGAUUAUGUUAAGCUUGGUUGUGGAUUGAGAAGGAGAUUAUCUAGGGCUACAUUCAUGCCCGCAGGUCCCGAGAUACAAGUUGGGUAGGAUGUCAACUCAACAGUUAAGAUUGUUGCACUCCAUUUGCUUCGAAGAUUCCAGGGGCCAGCAUGAUUAUAUAUUAUAUAUAUACAUAUGCAUGGGUAUGGCGGGCCCUGUCCCGGCCACGUUAUGUUAUGUUUUCCAGUAGAGGCUUGUAGACAGUUAUGUACAAUCAGAUAAUGUUUAGUCCUGGUGUUUCAUAUAUUGCCACACAGAUGAUCAUGACAGCCUUGUUGGCUCAUAUAGUAUGUUCAACAUAUCCAUAUAGAUGAGUCUUUCAGACUAUUUAAUACAUACACAUUUUCCUUAUGAGUCUAUUGAGUAUCAUAUUAUGGCACUAUUGGCCCACCUAUGUUUAUGUUGAUGUCACAGAUGCAUGUCAGAUGGUGCUUGACUAGUACGGUCAGGUGCUCGUCAUG